UAGGGAAUCUUCGGCAAUGGACGGAAGUCUGACCGAGCAACGCCGCGUGAGUGAAGAAGGUCUUUGGAUCGUAAAGCUCUGUUGUUAGAGAAGAACGUUGGUAGGAGUGGAAAAUCUACCAAGUGACGGUAACUAACCAGAAAGGGACGGCUAACUACGUGCCAGCAGCCGCGGUAAUACGUAGGUCCCGAGCUUUGUCCGGAUUUAUUGGGCGUAAAGCGAGCGCAGGCGGUUCUUUAAGUCUGAAGUUAAAGGCAGUGGCUUAACCAUUGUACGCUUUGGAAACUGGAGUACUUGAGUGCAGGAGGGGAGUGUGGAAUUCCAUGUGUAGCGGUGAAAUGCGUAGUUAUAUGGAGGAACACCUGUGGCGAGAGCGGCUCCCUGGUCUGUAACUGACGCUGAGGCUCGAAAGCGUGGGGGGCAAACAGG
rnacentral:rRNA from 1 species